rnacentral:rRNA from 1 species
AACGAACGCUGGCGGCGCGUUUUAAACAUGCAAGUCGCACGAGAGCCCCGAUGCUUGCAUUGGGGGGAGAGUGGCGAACGGGUGAGUAACACGUGGAUUAUCUACCUUCAGGUCUGGGAUAACUUCGGGAAACCGGGGCUAAUACCGGAUAAUAUGGCAACAUUAAAGGUGGGGACCUUCGGGCCUAUCACCUGGAGAUGAGUCCGCGUCCCAUUAGCUUGUUGGUGGGGUAAUGGCCUACCAAGGCGACGAUGGGUAGCCGGCCUGAGAGGGUGUACGGCCACAUUGGGACUGAGAUACGGCCCAGACUCCAACGGGAGGCAGCAGUUAAGAAUCUUGCGCAAUGGGCGAAAGCCUGACGCAGCGACGCCGCGUGGACGAUGAAGGCCUUCGGGUUGUAAAGUCCGGUAAGCAGGGAAGAAUAAGCGUAAGGUAAUAUCUUGCGUGAUGACGGUACCUGCCUAAAGCCCCGGCUAACUACGUGCCAGCAGCCGCGGUAAUACGUAUGGGGCAAGCGUUGUUCGGAAUUAUUGGGCAUAAAGGGCGUCUAGGCGGGGGAAUAAGUUAGGUGUGAAAGCCAUGGGCUCAACUCAUGAAUUGCACCUAAAACUGUUUCUCUUGAGUUCGGGAGAGGAGAGCGGAAUUCCCGGUGUAGCGGUGAAAUGCGUAGAUAUCGGGAAGAACACCAGUGGCGAAGGCGGCUCUCUGGCCUAGAACUGACGCUGAAGCGCGAAAGCGUGGGGAGCGAACGGGAUUAGAUACCCCGGUAGUCCACGCCGUANACGUUGUGUACUAGGUGUUAGUGGCUUGACCACUAGUGCCGUCGCAAACGCAUUAAGUACACCGCCUGGGG